CCUUCAGUAGCUCAGCUGGUAGAGUGGAGGACUGUAGACUCCCUUGCACAGCCAUCCUUAGGUUGCUGGUUCAGGUCCGGCUCAAAGGA
rfam:Mesitornis unicolor contig12591, whole genome shotgun sequence.